CACCACUCAAGCCUCGCUUGGUAUUGGGCGUCCGGGACCCCGGCGCCUCAAUUUCGUCGGCUGGCGAGUCUAGAUCUCAGCGUUGUGGCAAGCAAAUCCGCUGGCGAGACAGGCUCCCGCGCCGUUAAACCCCAAUCAAAA
rnacentral:misc_RNA from 1 species